rnacentral:rRNA from 1 species
UGGGGAAUUUUGGGCAAUGGGCGAAAGCCUGACCCAGCAACGCCGCGUGAGGGAUGAAGGCCCUCGGGUCGUAAACCUCUGUCGGGAGGGAAGAACGGUAGCCCUUCGAACAGGUGGGCUGCCUGACGGUACCUCCAAAGGAAGGUCCGGCUAACUCCGUGCCAGCAGCCGGGGUAAUACGGAGGGAGCAAGCGUUGUUCGGAAUCAUUGGGCGUAAAGCGGGUGUAGGGGGCUUGGCAAGUCGGGUGUGAAAUCCCGGGGCCCAACCCCGGAACUGCACUCGAAACUGCCUCGCUAGAGUCCCGGAGAGGAAGGCGGAAUUCCCGGUGUAGAGGUGAAAUUCGUAGAUAUCGGGAGGAACACCAGUGGCGAAGGCGGCCUCCUGGACGGUGACUGACGCUGAGACGCGAAAGCGUGGGGAGCAAACAGGAUUAGAUACCCGGGUAGUCC